rnacentral:rRNA from 1 species
AUUGGUCAAUAGCCUAACGGCUGAACCAGCAACUUGGGAGAAUGUAUAGUCCUCUUAUGAGGCUAGUUAUGUUUUUUUUUAGUAAUGCACCUUGAUGGGAUUACAAAAAAAAAUAUAAUACCAACUACGUUGGAUAAAGUUCUAGAUAGGAUACUGAUUAUGACAAUUUUCUAUCUACAUGUCUUGACCAAAUUACGUGCCAGCAGUCGCGGUAAUACGUAGAAGACUAGUGUUAUUCAUCUUUAAUAGGUUUAAAGGGUACCUAGACGGCAUUACUAACCCAAAAUAGGGAAAUAGUUUUUGCUAGAGUUUUAUAUGAGAAGGGGAGUAUUUAUAGAGUAGAGAUAAAAUUCUUUGAUACAUUAAGGACUGGUAAAGGCGAAAGCUACCUUUUAUCUAAAAACUGACGUUGAGGGACGGAGGCUUGGAUAGCGAACAGGAUUAGAUACCCUAGUAGUCUUUGCAGAGAAUGAUGAAUGCCAUAGACUAGAUAUUUAUUUAGUGUAUAAAUGAAAGUGUAAGCAUUCCACCUCAAGAGUAAUGUGGCAACGCAGGAACUGAAAUCAUUAGACCGUUUCUGAGAACAGUAGUGAAGUAUGUUGUUUAAUUCGAUGGCCCUCGAAAAACCUUACCACAACUUGAAUAGCGUCAUUAGUUGAUUAAGGAAAUAUAGAUUCCUUAAAAGCAAGAAGUGUUGAAAUACAUUUAUUACGGUGAUGUUACAAGUGUUGCACGGUUGUCUUCAGCUAAUGUCGUGAGAUUUUGGUUAGUUCCAUAAAAUUAGCGUAAACCCCGGCUUUAUUUUUAAAUUUUUAUCAUAAAGCAGUUCAUCACUAUAUUGAUUACAUGAUAACAGGGAUCAAGACAAAUCAUCAUGGCCUAAAUGUUGUGGGCU